UACAGAGGGGGCUAGCGUUGUUCGGAAUUACUGGGCGUAAAGGGCGCGUAGGUGGCCUGUUAAGUCGAACGUGAAAUCCCCGGGCUCAACCCGGGAACUGCGUCCGAGACUGGCAGGCUCGAAUCCGGGAGAGGGAUGUGGAAUUCCAGGUGUAGCGGUGAAAUGCGUAGAUAUUCGGAAGAACACCAGUGGCGAAGGCGACAUACUGGCUCAUUACUGACGCUGAGGCUCGAAAGCGUGGGGAGCAAACAGG
rnacentral:rRNA from 1 species